rnacentral:tRNA from 1 species
GCCUGGGUGGCUCAGUCGGUUAAGCGUCUGACUUCGGCUCAGGUCAUGAGCUCACGGUUCGUGGGUUCAAGCCCCGCGUCGGGCU